rnacentral:misc_RNA from 1 species
GAGCAAUGCAUCACAACUGUCCUGUCUGCUUCGAGUACCUAUUUGACUCGACGAAGGACAUCAGCGUCUUGCACUGCGGGCACACGAUCCAUCUGGAAUGCCUGAACGUGAUGAGAGCGCAUCAUCACUUCGCUUGCCCGGUGUGCUCACGGUCGGCCUGCGACAUGUCGGACGCGUGGAAGAAGCUCGACGAGGAGGUGGCCGCGA